rnacentral:rRNA from 1 species
GAUGAACGCUGGCGGCGUGCCUAAUACAUGCAAGUCGAGCGAACGGACGAGAAGCUUGCUUCUCUGAAGUGAGCGGCGGACGGGUGAGGAACACGUGGAGAACCGACCGAUAAGAAUGGGAUAACGACGCGAAACCGGAGCUAAUACCGGAUGAUAUUGUGAACCGCAUGGUUCAAAAGUGAAAGACGGUCUUGCUGUCACUUAUAGAUGGAUCCGCGCUGCAUUAGCUAGUUGGUAAGGUAACGGCUUACCAAGACAACGGUGCAUAGCCGACCUGGGAGGGUGGUCGGACCAACUGACACUGAGCCACGGUCCAGACUCCUACGGGAGGCAGCAGUAGGGAAUAUUCCGCAAUGGGCGAAAGCCUGACGGAGCAACGCCGCGUGAGUGAUGAAGGUCUUCGGAUCGUAAAACUCUGUUAUUAGGGAAGAACAUAUGUGUAAGUAACUGUGCACAUCUUGACGGUACCUAAUCAGAAAGCCACGGCUAACUACGUG